UACGUAGGGUGCGAGCGUUAAUCGGAAUUACUGGGCGUAAAGCGUGCGCAGGCGGUUUUGUAAGCCAGAUGUGAAAUCCCCGGGCUUAACCUGGGAAUGGCAUUUGGGACUGCAAGGCUCGAGUGCGGCAGAGGAGACUGGAAUUCCUGGUGUAGCAGUGAAAUGCGUAGGUAUCAGGAGGAACACCGAUGGCGAAGGCAGGUCUCUGGGCCGAUACUGACGCUGAGGAGCGAAAGCGUGGGGAGCGAACAGG
rnacentral:rRNA from 1 species